GUGAAUCAUCGAAUUUUUGAACGCAAAUUGCACUCUCUGGUAUUCCGGAGAGUAUGCCUGUUUGAGGGUCAGUUUACAUACACAUCGGUGUGGUUGCGGCCUUUCGUGGUGACGCACCGGAUUUGGGUCGUCUUGCCUUUGGUUACGUGACCUAAAAUCUCGCAUGAUUUUUUUCUAACGUAUUUAAAUGAUUUUACGUACGUUUGCGAUAUAGGA
rnacentral:misc_RNA from 1 species